CUACGGGCGGCUGCAGUGGGGAAUUUUGGACAAUGGGCGCAAGCCUGAUCCAGCCAUGCCGCGUGAGUGAAGAAGGCCUUCGGGUUGUAAAGCUCUUUCAGGUGGGAAGAAACGGUUAAUGUUAAUAGCAUUGACUACUGACGGUACCACCAGAAGAAGCACCGGCGAACUACGUGCCAGCAGCCGCGGUAAUACGUAGGGUGCGAGCGUUAAUCGGAAUUACUGGGCGUAAAGGGUGCGCAGGCGGUUUUGUAAGCCAGAUGUGAAAUCCCCGGGCUCAACCUGGGAACUGCAUUUGGGACUGCAAGGCUAGAGUACGGCAGAGGGGGGUAGAAUUCCACGUGUAGCAGUGAAAUGCGUAGAUAUGUGGAGGAAUACCGAUGGCGAAGGCAGCCCCCUGGGUCGAUACUGACGCUCAGGCACGAAAGCGUGGGGAGCAAACAGGAUUAGAUACCCGCGUAGUC
rnacentral:rRNA from 1 species